GCCUACUUCAACAGCGUGUUUACUAAACAAGAAUGGAUACAGAGAAGAUCCGAAUGAUCCUUGCACAGGGAAGACCCAGAAAUUCAAGAAUCUUUGCAGUUUAAA